UACGAACCGUGCGAACGUUAUUCGGAAUCAUUGGGCUUAAAGCGCGUGUAGGCGGAUUCGUGCGUCUGUCGCUGAAAUCCCCCGGCUCAACCGGGGAACGGGCGCGGAUACGACGAGUCUGGAGGGGCAUAGGGGGACCUGGAACUUCCGGUGGAGCGGUGAAAUGCGUUGAGAUCGGAAGGAACGCCCGUGGCGAAAGCGAGGUCCUGGAUGCCUACUGACGCUGAGACGCGAAAGCCAGGGGAGCGAACGGG
rnacentral:rRNA from 1 species